GACGAACGCUGGCGGCGUGCUUAACACAUGCAAGUCGAGCGGUAAGGCCCUUUCGGGGGUACACGAGCGGCGAACGGGUGAGUAACACGUGGGUGACCUGCCCUCAGCUCUGGGAUAAGCCCGGGAAACUGGGUCUAAUACUGGAUAUGACUCCAUGACGCAUGUUGUGGGGUGGAAAGCCUUGUGCGGCUGAGGAUGGGCCCGCGGCCUAUCAGCUUGUUGGUGGGGGGAUGGCCUACCAAGGCGACGACGGGUACGCCGGCCUGAGGAGGGCGGACCGGCCACACGUGGGAC
rnacentral:rRNA from 1 species